UACGGGGGGGAGCAAGCGUUGUUCGGAUUUACUGGGCGUAAAGAGCGCGCAGGCGGUCGUCUAAGUCGCGUGUGAAAGCCCCCCGGCUCAACUGGGGAGGGUCACGCGAUACUGAUCGACUCGAAGGCAGGAGAGGGUAGUGGAAUUCCCGGUGUAGUGGUGAAAUGCGUAGAUAUCGGGAGGAACACCAGUGGCGAAGGCGACUACCUGGCCUGUUCUUGACGCUGAGGCGCGAAAGCUAGGGGAGCAAACGGG
rnacentral:rRNA from 1 species